UGGGGAAUUUUGGACAAUGGACGCAAGUCUGAUCCAGCCAUGCCGCGUGCGGGAAGAAGGCCUUCGGGUUGUAAACCGCUUUUGUCAGGGAAGAAACGGUGAAAGCUAAUAUCUUUUGCUAAUGACGGUACCUGAAGAAUAAGCACCGGCUAACUACGUGCCAGCAGCCGCGGUAAUACGUAGGGUGCAAGCGUUAAUCGGAAUUACUGGGCGUAAAGCGUGCGCAGGCGGUUAUGCAAGACAGAGGUGAAAUCCCCGGGCUCAACCUGGGAACUGCAUUUGUGACUGUAUAGCUAGAGUACGGUAGAGGGGGAUGGAAUUCCGCGUGUAGCAGUGAAAUGCGUAGAUAUGCGGAGGAACACCGAUGGCGAAGGCAAUCCCCUGGACCUGUACUGACGCUCAUGCACGAAAGCGUGGGGAGCAAACA
rnacentral:rRNA from 1 species